AAUUAGAAAGCGAAAUUUAUCGCAACUAGUUUCGGCCUAGUCUUUGGCACAUUACAGCCUCUAAUUU
rnacentral:tRNA from 1 species